rnacentral:lncRNA from 13 species
CAAGUCAUGACAGUAGGAUUCAGUGUGCUGGGGGAACACAGUUUUAUGAAUCUCACUUUAAAAAAACUGCAAGUGCUAUAAAUAGAAGCCUUCAUAAUUUUGAGAUAAUAAUGGUAAAAAUGAUCAUUUUUGCUUAUUAUUUGUGAUGGUUAAUAUUGUGUCAACUUGAUUGAAUUGAAGGAUGCAACGUACUGUUCCCAGGUGUGUCUGUGAGGGUGUUGCCGAAGAAGAUGAACACUUGAGACAAUGGACUGGGAGAGGCAGAGCCACCCUCCCUCUGGGUGGGCACCCAGCUGCCAGCGCAGCUGCAAGCGCAGCUAGAAUCAGCUUCCAGCACAGCUAGAGUAAAGCAGGCAGAGGAACGCGGAAGGGUUAGACUGCCUGAGUCUCCCGACCUUCGUCUUUCCCCUGUGCCGGAUGCUUCCUGCCCUCAAACAUCGGACUCCAGGUUCUUCAGCUUUUGGACUCUUGGACUCACACCAGGGGUUUGCCAGGGGCUCUCGGGCCUUUGGCCACAGACUGAAGGCUGCGCUAUCGGCGUCCCUACUUUUGGGGAUUGGGACUUGUACUGGCUUCCUUGCUCCUCGGCUUGCAAACAGCCUACUGUGGGACCUCACCCUGUGAUCAUGUACAUCAGGGAAAGGUGCGUCCCUCCCAGUGAAGCUGGAAGGUUGAAGUCCUGACACCUCCCGCGGUCUGAGCAGCUGCGCGAUGAACUGGAUAGUGCUGGAAUGUGGGACAACGGAGGCAGACUCAGAAGUCGGAACAUUGUUUCAGGAUCACACAGAAAGAGACAUGAUUUUCAUAGACUGUGAGCUUCUUGAGGGAGUACCUGUAUGUCAGUGGACAGACCCAAAGGUGCGGGGUGGUGCCACACCAUUCACGAGAACUUUCACCCUCAUAAUCCAGUCACCUCCCACCAGGCUCCACUUCCAACUCCGGAGAUUACAAUUUGGCGUGAGACUUGUUGGGGACACAGAGCCAACCCGUAUCCUUAGGACACACAACAUGGCAUCUUCGCAUGGGAACUGGCUGCAUUUGGGCAACAUUCUGUAA